rnacentral:lncRNA from 1 species
CUUCCCUCUGACUGACCCCUCGGUGAUACACUGGGGUGGACAGAGAGAGACAUGACGACCAUGGUGGCUGUGAAGCAAUCCUGACAGUAACUGACUUCCCCUGGGGCUGCCAACCCUGCUAUACACACACUGACCGGAUGCUUGUCAGUGGCUGCCUGGUGCCAAUCAAAGGUCAAAGCUGUUCAGUACAGGGAUGGCAACUAAGGAUCCAGCAGAGCCUGGCUGAAUCAUCUCCAAGAAAAAUUCACAGGAGAGGAGGUGAACCGGCCUUCAACUCAGCCCCGGUUGAGGUGUGACUGUAC